AUUGAACGCUGGCGGCAUGCCUUACACAUGCAAGUCGAACGGCAGCACGGGGCAACCUGGUGGCGAGUGGCGAACGGGUGAGUAAUGCAUCGGAACGUACCUUUCAGUGGGGGAUAACGUAGCGAAAGUUACGCUAAUACCGCAUAUUCUGUGAGCAGGAAAGCAGGGGAUCGCAAGACCUUGCGCUGAUUGAGCGGCCGAUGUCAGAUUAGCUAGUUGGUGAGGUAAAGGCUCACCAAGGCGACGAUCUGUAGCAGGUCUGAGAGGAUGAUCCGCCACACUGGAACUGAGACACGGUCCAGACUCCUACGGGAGGCAGCAGUGGGGAAUUUUGGACAAUGGGGGCAACCCUGAUCCAGCCAUGCCGCGUGAGUGAAGAAGGCCUUCGGGUUGUAAAGCUCUUUCGGCCGGGAAGAAAUCACACGGGCUAAUACCCUGUGUGGAUGACGGUACCGGAAUAAGAAGCACCGGCUAACUACGUGCCAGCAGCCGCAGUAAUAC
rnacentral:rRNA from 1 species